AGCCGCCCGCCCGCCGAGCCGGCGGAUCCAGGAGGGGAUGGAGCCUCCCCCGGCGCAGGGAUGCCGCAGCCGCCUCCGUCCCCGCCGGGCUGUGUCUGCCGCCGCCGCGGCUCUGAUGCCUUCGGGGUGUCCGUGCCGGUUCCCGCAGGUGCGGGCGGCCCUCGCCGCGACAGCGUGAGCCCCGCGCCCCGAGCCCAUGGAUCCGGAGCCGCCGCAGACGGGCCACGCCGUGCCCGUGGCCUCCGCCAGCCCGGACGUGGCCCUGCUGACGGACACGCGUGAAGGCGCGGGAGGUGGCGGUGACAGCGCACCCCGCGUGGCCCCGGGGCGGGAGCGGGACGACGCGCCCCGACCCCCGGAGGACUCCCCCUCGCCGGACCCGCAGCUCGUUAGGCCUCCGCGAGCUAUGGAGGGGCUCGGACGGGAGCGGCCAGACGGACCCCCCCAGAGCGGGGCUGACUACAGCUUCCUUGUGAGCCAGAACAUGAAGCUCCUGAGCGCACUGGAGGACCUGCGGCACCGCUGCUCCAGCCUCACCGAGGAGAACAGCUUGCUGCGCAGGAGCUGCUUCCCCGAGACGGAGGAGAAGGUUAAGCACCUGAAGAGGAAAAACGCGGAGCUGGCGGUGAUCGCCAAACGCCUGGAGGAGAGAGCCCGAAAACUCCAGGAGGCCAACCUCAAAGUCGUAACUGCUCCAGUGCCUCUGAAAGGUUCCAGCCUGGAGCUAUGUAAAAAAGCAUUUGCCCGCCAGCGUGCCAAGGACCUGACAGAGCAAGCCAGUGCUCUCCUGGCAAAAGACAAGCAGAUUGAAGCUCUGCAGCAGGAGUGUCGGGAGCUGCAGGCUAAGCUCAUUGCGGGGAAGGGUGACCCUCGCUGCCUGAACGUGGUGGAGUUCGACCGGCUGCUGCGGGAAUCCCAGAAAGAAGUGCUGCGGCUGCAGAGGCAAAUCGCGCUGAAGAACUUCAAGGAGUGUCUGCGCCCCUCCAAAGGCAGCUCAGGGGGCUCUUUGCCAAGCGCUGCCUCCUGCCCGGGCCCAGCGCUGAAUGCCUGCAGCAAAGACUCACCCGCAGCGAAGGAGGUCUGCUCGGGAGGCCCAGCGCUAGGAGGGGCAGCACACGGGAAGGUGGAACCAGGUGUGCUACCACUGGGCCCUGCCUUGGAAGGACAUGAAAAUUUCCCUCCAAAAAAUGCAGUAGCAGACCAAGAGAGCAGCCAACAAAUACAGCAGCUGGAAUUUGAACUCAAGAAAAAGCGCAAAAAAUGUGAAAACCUCGAGCAUGAAGUGAGGAAAAAGCAUAAAAGAUGCAAAGAACUCGAGAUCCAGCUGCAGGAGGUACAGAGUGAAAAUGCACGACUGGCCGAGGAGAACUUGCAGCUGAAUGAGAAGGCCGGAUGGGCAGGACAGGUUGAAUCUGAGAAUGCUGACCUGAAGCUCCAGGUUGUUUUGGUUACUAAGGAACGGGAUUCAGUAAUUCAGAGAAAUCAAGGACUUCAAACCAAGCUGGAGAAUCUAGAGCAGGUGCUGAAGCACAUGAGAGAUGUGGCUGAGCGAAGGCAGCUGCUGGAAGCUGAACACAAGGAAGCACUGCUAGUCCUGCAGGAGAAGCAAGAGGAAGUCAGACGGUUGCAGCAGGCACAGGCAGAGGCAAAAAGGGAACAUGAGGGAGCAGUACAGCUUCUAGAGAGUACUUUGGAUUGCAUGCAGGCUCGGGUGAAAGAUCUAGAAGACCAAUGUCGCAGUCAAACAGAGCAGUUCAGCCUUCUGUCCCAGGAGCUCAAACAAUUCCGCCUUCAAACAGGAAAAAUCGACCUUCUCACCUCCACACUGGUGACUUCUGAACUUCCUCUUGCGCUGUGCAGUUCUACCCCACAGCCUCACUGGGAGAAGGAUUCACCUGGUCCUGCAUUGCUUGCUCACCAGAGCACAAAGAAGGUUCACAAUGAAGAGACCAAUGAGUCGGAGUCGUCACAGCGGGUGCCUGAGGCUGCUGUUGGCUCCCCAGUUUCUACUGCCAGUUCUCAGAAACAAGCCAAGAAAGCUGAAUCUCAGUCAAGCUCUUCAAAAUCAGAAUCCAUGCAGAACAGCUCCAAAUCCUGCCCAACUCCAGAGGUGGACACUGCAAGUGAAAUGGAAGAACUGGAUGUUGACAGCAUCUCUCUGAUGCCAGACCCAGGCAGCCAAGGCCCUGCAAAGCUCCAGGUCUUCUUGGCUCGAUACAGCUACAAUCCUUUCGAUGGACCAAAUGAAAAUCCAGAAGCAGAGCUUCCACUAACUGCUGGAGAGUACAUUUACAUCUAUGGAGACAUGGACGAAGAUGGCUUCUUUGAAGGGGAGCUGAUGGAUGGCCGGCGAGGGCUGGUCCCCUCCAAUUUUGUUGAGCGAGUUUCAGAUGAUGACCUCGUGACGGUUCUGCCUUCGGAGCUGAAUGAUCUCACCCAUAGUUCAUACCAGGAGAAAAGUUUUGUCAGUGCAAGCACCAGCAGUGGAGAUAAGAGUGAUUUCUCCAUUGAAGAGAGUAGCAUCAGUCCGUUGGUCAGUAGAGCAGAAGGAGACCAGGAGGAACGUGUUAGUCACACAGCAGUGCCUUACCCAAGAAAACUGACUCUGAUCAAGCAGCUUGCCAGAAGCAUAGUUGUAGGCUGGGAACCACCACUUAUGCCUGCUGGCUGCCCAGACAUACAGAGCUACAAUAUCUAUGUGGAUGAAGAGCUACGUCAAAAUGUGAAGAGUGGCUUUCAGACCAAAGCAGUGAUUGAAAAGCUGGAUUUAAAGACGAAGGCUUACCGUGUGUCUGUGCAGAGUGUGACAGAGAAGGGCAGUUCUGAUAAACUGCGAUGCACUUUCUAUGUGGGGCAAGAUUUGUGUGUGGCACCGACUAUGCUGAAAGUCAGAAACGUCACUGCCACAUCAGCAGAGGUCACGUGGCUUCCCUGCAACAGCAAUUACAACCACGCAGUGUAUCUGAAUGGGGAGGAGUGUGACAUAACAAAACCAGGGGUCUACUGGUACACCUUCUGCAACCUGCAGCCCAACACUCAGUAUGUUGCCAAGCUGGAGGCCCGUCCCUUGAAAACACUCUGGGAAGAGGUCUCAGAGGGGCAGGAGCAGAACUCAGCUGUGAUACACUUCACUACCCCACUAGCAGGCACGCCUGAUGCUCCUCUGGAUGUCCAGGUAGAAGUUGGUCCCUCUCCAGGAAUCCUCGUUAUCAGCUGGUUACCUGUCACUAUUGAUGCUGAAGGAUCUUCCAACGGAGUUCGAGUCACGGGUUAUGCUGUGUAUGCAGAUGGACAGAAGGCAAUAGAAGUUACUUCUCCAACAGCUGGGAGUGUCCUUGUGGACUUGUCCCAGCUUCAGAUGUUCCAGGUGUGCCGGGAGGUUUCUGUGAGAACAAUGUCUCUGUAUGGGGAGUCAGUGGAUUCAGUUCCAGCCCAGAUUUCCUCAGUCUUGCUGAGAGCUUCUCAUCGUUCUUCACCUUCAGAUUCUGCUGUUUCUACUACUCUUACCUCUAGACUGCCCUGUGGAGAAUCCAGGGGCUCUCUGCCUGCACGCAGCCCGCCCACACACCAGACGGCUGCGCUCCUGCUUCGACAGAAAGUCCCCACUGAUUUAUCAGAUGCCAAAUUAACUGAUCUCUCCUCCAGCCACGAUGGCUCAGCACAAUCUCUGCCAGAGAAAGCCUCUUUGCUACUGCAGCUCUCUCCGUCCAGCGCUUCCUUGGUACACACCUCAGGCACUUCUCUGCAGGGAUCAGACACUGCACAAGACAAGAAAUGCCUGACUGUGCCUCCUCAGCAAGCGGGCAGUACAAAACUCCUGGGUGAGGGCACAGAGCCUGUCUCCUCGAGGGAAGCAGAAUUGAAAAGCCUGGGUGAAGGGACAGAAGUGCUGAUGGAGCAAAACGUAAACAAAAUGCCAGAGCUAGAAAGCCCAAUUAAUGCUAGCCUGAUGAUACGCAUGGAGACCUGCCAUACAUGCUCUGUGGAAGAGUCACCAACAAGUCCCAGUGCUGAAAGAGAGACAGAAGCAAAGGAGAAGAACUUGAGUCCAGAGCCCCUGCCCUCCCCCAGCCAGGCUGAGGAGAUGGAGGGCACCUCCCGAGAUGCAAGCGUGGGUGGAAGCAGCUGCCAGGAGUUUCUGAGGUUGUCGCCUAGCAAAGAGGUGAUGAAAGAAAUGUCCAGAGUGAAAAGAGAGCAAGAAGAAAAAAUGUCUGAAAUAGGAAGACGACAGCUGACUCUUUUUACUGAGCACAAUCGUAGUUCAGACCUCUCAGAUAUAUUGGAGGAGGAAGAGGAAGAUGAACUGUCUUCAGAAACUCUGGAUGAGAAGAAAUGGGAUCCAAGAGAGCCCUGUUACAGGGAGAACGGGGAGAAGAUGGAUCUUUGUGAUACUGACAGCGAUGAGGAGAUUCUGGAAAGGAUACUAGAGCUCCCGCUUCAGAAGAACCACAGCAAGAAAUUGUUUAGCAUCCCUGAAGUGACUGAAGAUGAGGAUGAAGAUGAGGAUGAGAAGUGUGUUACAGAGGAAAAGGAAAAUCCUCAAGGCUCCUUGGAAGCACCUACCUACAUUGCAGGAAGGUCUGAGAAGCCACUAAGCACCCAGGAUCCAUUUCCAAAGGCAGAUGGUAGUGAUUCCUCCCCAGAUCUAUCUGCUCAGACUCCAUGGGAGGAGCAGACUGCUAAGGGGAGUAGAGGGGGUGCUGACCACAUGAGCCCCAGCUGGAGUCAGAAAAGGACAAACUGGAACUGGGGCUACCAGGAGAAUGAUCUGAAGUCUGGGAGUGGGACAAGCCCCACUCGGAGCAAGAAGAAGGGAAAUAACUAUCGAGAGAAGAUCCGGGGUCGACCUGAGAUGGGUAGGAAGAGACAGAAUGAUUUCACAGAGCACUGCAGUCGUCUGCUGGGCAACUGCAGCCAGAUGGGAGGCGGGUUGUACAGAGCUCCCAGCCUCCGGGAGGAGCUGAACAUUGUGAGCAGCUCUGCUGGUAAGGAGGGGUUUGAUGCAUACACUCGUGCUAGGCAAAGCGCCUCUCGAAGAAACCAUGGGAAAACAAUGGUUUCAGGGUUUGCAGAACCUGCUGGGAUGGCAGCACACUGCUCCAGCUCCAGGAGCCUGGAAAUAGACAUUGAGUAUGACUCUGAAGACGAUCAGGAUUCAACCUGUUCAUCCCCCCCUGAGAGCAGGCUCUGGCCAGAAAGGGCCCAGAACUGUCAGGGGGAAUGGAGCGAUUGCUCCAGUCAAUCUGAGGUUUUCCACACAGGUGGCAGAAGGAACCUGACUAGACUGGAGAGAGUGGAAGAGCAGGGUAUGGAGUGGGCUGGGUCUCCAAGCCGGCGCCUGCAAUCCUUCUGCCAGGAGAAGGAAGCACUGAGGUGUGAGAGCAGCUCUGAGGAGCAAGGCUGGGAGCAGGACUGUAAGUCACCUGGCUGGAGAAGGAGGCUCGAACAUCCUUGGAAGGGGAUACGUAGCACCUCCUUGCACAAAAGGGCGUCUGGCAAUAAAGAUCCUAGGGGCCAGGAACUGCCUGGCUCAGCUGCCUGGCAGACUCCCAGCAGAAGAGGGAACAGGAGCUUACAAAGAAGCCAAAUGCAGAAGCCUUCGCUUUCUAGUCCAGGUCCUCCAAGGAGCUCUGCUUCAGAAACCACUGUUGAAGAUGAUGGCAUUAGAAUAUUUGUGGCCCUGUUUGACUACGAUCCUGUUUCCAUGUCUCCUAACCCUGAUGCAGCAGAAGAAGAGCUCCCGUUUAAGGAGGGACAGAUCCUGAAGGUGUGCGGAGACAAGGAUGCCGAUGGCUUUUACAGGGGUGAAUGUGCAGGAAGAGAGGGAUACAUACCCUGUAACAUGGUAUCUGAAGUCCAGGUGGAGAAUAAUGAAAUCAAGAUGCAGCUCCUAAAGCAAGGGUUCCUUCCUGCUGACCCACCGACAGAGAGCAUAGGAAAUGGCACAUUUUCUCCACCUCCACGCCGCCAAACCGUCCCUCCUCCAAAACCCAGACGCGCCAAGAAAGCAGAACUAGAUAAACAGGAGAAGUAUAAGUCUCAUCCAGGACAGAAGCAUCAGGACUUUGAAGCUGAACUGCUGACUCCUCGAAGUAUGGUGGCUGUUUUUGACUAUAACCCUAAGGAGAGUUCUCCAAAUGCAGAUGCAGAGGCUGAACUGACUUUCAGUGCAGGGGACAUUAUCACAGUGUUUGGGUCCAUGGAUGAUGAUGGAUUCUACUAUGGAGAGCUGAACCAACAGAGAGGGCUUGUCCCAUCUAACUUCUUGGAAGCUGUAACCUCAGAUGGAGACGUGGUCGAGGAGCUUCACUCAAAAGAUAAAGACACUUUCUUGCUGAGCGCUGAGAGCCAGUUAAAUCCAGAUGGAUCUGUUGAUCACAGUGACUUCUCACCAACUCCUCCUGCACCUCCUUCCUGCCUUGUCAUGGGCGAGCAGUGUCCAGAGCAGGCAUCGCUGGCCGUUCUCAAAUGCAAUGACUUACCUAGUCAGAGUAAAAAGAAGAGAGGCUUCUUCAUCAAAGGAAAAAAGCUCUUCAGAAAACUUGGGUCCAGUAAGAAAGACUAACAAGGGAUUUUUCACCAUGUAUAGACUGCCUGUGCAAUCCAUGCAGGCACUGAAAAUUCAGGAGAAGCCCUCGCAAUAAGCUGAUGAGAGUAUUUUCGUAGGAGAAAAGUGUAUAUUGAAUAGAGGAAGCUCCUCAGUGGGUCUGUGAGCUGCAUGCUCUGCUGAGAGCUCAGCCACGCGUGCCUACCCAGCGUGGGCAGCGGCUCUGAACGGUGUCAUGGCCCUGAGGUGUGUGAGGCCUCAGCUCUAGGAUGCAGCUACCUCCACAGUAGUGUGUCCUGCUCCUUGCAGCCCUCGAUGCACCGGUUCCCUGUAAAUAUUUUGAUUUAAAAAAUAUAUUCUGGCUGUAAGUUAGCUAAAUGGCUUUUCCCAGCAAAGCCCCAGCCCCUUAGGAAGAGUUCCCUUGUACUGCACCCAUUGGUAUUUCUCUGGUCCAAAGGAGGUUGUGUCGAGUCCUUCACUUCCUGCAAAGAAAAUUUGCACUUUUCUCUUCCCGUGAAUCCCCUUUGCUGUCUCUGGGCUGAAAAGUGAGUUAUUUGUACUGUAAACCUGUAAAUAUGCAGCUGUGCCUAGGAGCAUCCCACACUGCCUCAGUCAUGUUUCAGCAUGAGGAUUCCCAUGGAGGAAGGAGCAAUACCCAGGAGGGGAUCGAUGCUUCUGCCUAUAGCGUGGGCUGCUGUAAGCUGCUCUUGGCUGGCUCACCUUGACCACGCACUGGCUGGGGACUCCGCCUUAUUUAUUUAUUUAUCUAACUAUUUAUUUGUGUAUUUAUUUAUUUUUUUUUGUCCGCCUCUCUCACCGAUUCAUUUGGCUGUUUCAGUGCGCUGCUCCUCACUUGUUGGAGCAUUUGGAGAGCAGAGCUGGGGAUGGAGAGUUUGCAGCUGUUUUCACAUGAGAUGAUGUGUUCCUUCAGUUAAGUCACAUCCCUUUCUAAGCCACGGAGUUUUGUACUACAUGGUUUCUAUCCUUUCCUGUGUUUCUUUCUUUGCAUGUUUCAAUGGGUACUUGUUUUGAGAAGGACAGUUAUGUGAGGUACGUGAAUGAUGCCAGCACAGUGUCCACAGAUGUUGGUGAUAAGGUAUGUUUUUAUUUAAUAUCAAAUUUUAUUAUAAUAAAGUCUAUUUUCACAAAAAUACAUUUUCCUUAAAAAAGCACAUGCUUCAUUGUUGCUCAUUUGGGAGUGGUGGUGGUGUGUGUGUGUCCCUGCCUUCCCUGUGGUCACGAUGAGAGCAGUCCUCCCUGCAAAUGGAAACUCUUUGCCUCUCCCGUUACAACAGACCUAAUUCUGGAGGAGGAGACAUCAAGAGGACGCCUGGAUCCAGACAAAACCGCCGCCUAUGGCAACUGACCCAACAAAGGAGAAGGAAAACAUUUCCCCUCUCACCAACUGGAACACCUAUUUGCAUCCCUCAGUAUACUUUGGGUAGAAGCGACAAGAAAAGAAACCCCAAAAGCGCUGAGGUUAAACCACAGGAUCUUGGCUUCAGACUCAGUGAGCAGUUGGUGCCUCAUAGAACCCUCUGUGGAACUGCAGACACUUGAAACUGAGCUCUGCAGUGUUAUGUGGGGCUCUGCAAAGGCCGCUGAUGAAGAGGCUCCCAGGGGAGCCAUCACAGCACCAAAGCUGCUGGAAUUGGAGAAGUGUUUGGGCAAGGGACGUAUGGCUUAGUUGUGGGCAGUGCUGUGUGGAGCCAGGAGCUGGGCUCAGUUAUCCUGACAGUCCCAAAUGGUGCUAUUCUAUGACUAUAAUCCUAAUUUUGGCAGCUAGUGCCUCCAGAAAUACCUCUGUGCAUUCAGUUGCUGUAAUUUAUCUCCCACUCACUCUGCCUGGAGGAAGUUGGUUGCAGUUCUAAACUGAAUUUAACAUCUGCAGUUUCCUAAGCGAGUCGUUGGAGGUCUUUUGAAAGAAACUAACUGUUGUUGCACUUAUCGGUUCAUCAGGGGGUGAACCGAAGAGCAAAGCCCAUGGAAAGAACAACGGCAGCUGCAGUGUUCUGCUGCCUACCCAGAGUGGGUGCCUGCAGGAGGGCUCUGCUUCUCCCUCCAUACCUCCUUCAGCCCAGUCCUUGUGCCCAUGGGUGGUGACUCCCUGCUCCCCAGGACAUGCUGUGCUGCUGCCUACCAAAUUUCACUGUUAUAUACAUGGACUCCCAUCACAUAGCAGCCACACUAAUUCAGUUGGUUCCCCAGCAAUAGGCAGGCUCUGCACCAAAACAGAAGUCUUG